GUGAGGAAUAUUGCGCAAUGGAGGCAACUCUGACGCAGCCAUGCCGCGUGCAGGAAGAAGGCGCUACGCGUUGUAAACUGCUUUUAACCGGGAAGAAACCCCAGGACGUGUCCUGGGUUGACGGUACCGGAGGAAUAAGCACCGGCUAACUUCGUGCCAGCAGCCGCGGUAAUACGAAGGGUGCAAGCGUUAUCCGGAGUCAUUGGGUUUAAAGGGUGCGUAGGCGGAGCGUUAAGUCAGUGGUGAAAUCCUGCAGCUUAACUGUAGACUUGCCAUUGAUACUGGCGCUCUUGAGUGCGCUUGAAGUGGGCGGAAUGUGCCGUGUAGCGGUAAAAUGCUUAGAUAUGGCACAGAACACCAAUUGCGAAGGCAGCUCACUAAGGGGAUACGGACGCUGAGGCACGAAAGCGUGGGGAUCGAACAGGAUUAGAAACCCUUGUAGUCC
rnacentral:rRNA from 1 species